CCUUGCCAGCCCGCUCAGAAACUCAAAGGAAUUGACGGGGCCCGCACAAGCGGUGGAGCAUGUGGUUUAAUUCGAUGAUACGCGAGGAACCUUACCUGGGCUCAAAUGUAUGUUGACGUAUUCUGAAAGGGAUACUUCUUCGGACAAUAUACAAGGUGCUGCAUGGUUGUCGUCAGCUCGUGCCGUGAGGUGUCGGGUUAAGUCCCAUAACGAGCGCAACCCCUAUCAUUAGUUGCCAUCAGGUCAAGCUGGGGACUCUAAUGAAACUGCCUACGCAAGUAGUGAGGAAGGUGGGGAUGACGUCAAAUCAGCACGGCCCUUACGUCCAGGGCUACACACGUGCUACAAUGGCCGGUACAAAGGGCAGCUACCUGGUGACAGGAUGCUAAUCUCCAAAGUCGGUCUCAGUUCGGAUCGGAGUCUGCAACCCGACUCCGUGAAGUUGGAUUCGCUAGUAAUCGCGCAUCAGCCAUGGCGCGGUGAAUACGUUCCCGGGCCUU
rnacentral:rRNA from 1 species